AGUUUAUUUCGGUACUUUGCGAAAUUUGCAGUAGGAGAUCAGUACAGUGAUAGUUUUUUUGCCAUAAAGUCAAUUGAAGGGUUUUAAAACGGAGAAAAUGGCAGAAACAGAUAAUUUGAAGUUUUAUUUUGGUUCCAGACUUCUCUCUCCUCUUUCUCAAUCCAUAGGCCUACCAAUAGAUCAGAUCAACUUUGUCGUUUGCCAAUUGAUAGCUCUAGUCUUAGGUUAUCCUUUUAGGAAAAUUUUUUCACCAAAAAUCGUUUCUCCAAGGACAAGGCAUUUUAUUGAAGUAUGCAUAGGUUUAGCAAUGAUGUACUUUUGCUUUGGCUUGUAAGUUUGACUCUCUUUCUUUCAAAUUCUUUUAGCAUCAUGAAAAUGAAAAAUCUUUAAAAAUGUAUUCUUAUCUUUUAUCAUUCCAUAUUUUAAGAGAACAGAUUAACCGCUUUUUAUCACGAACUUUACUCAGUAAAUAUAAGCAUCUAAUGGAAAUGCACAAAGCUAGAAGUUUCAAUACUCAAAGUCCAUAAAUUUAGUAGAGAAUGUGUUUUUUUGCUACAAUUGAUUAUUUCUCAAAAGAGAUUGUAAAACAGUACCUCGUUUAACGCUUGCUAUGUCGUUCCAUGUGAAAAUCUAAAAUUACUAAAGUAAUCUCUUUAUCACAAAAAUCUAGUUGUUAGAAAUGAGACUUCUUUUGUAUAUACUAUCUUCUAUAAUAUAUGCAAUUUAUUUCUUGUUACAGACAAAUAUGGCAUAUUCUUUUCCAUUCUCUUAUCUCUUAUGCAAUAAUGUUGACUUUCCCUGCGGGUUCUAUGGAAAUUUUAGUUUUCCUUCUAUCAAUGGGGCACGUCUCUGUAUGCCAUAUAUAUAGACAAUUGUAUGAUUAUGGAGGCUAUACACUUGACAUAACAGGCCCUCUAAUGAUAAACGUUCAAAGAAUAUCCAGUUUGGCUUGUAGUUUGGCCGAUGGUAGAGUAAAAGAUCAAUCAAAACUUAGUUCUAGUAGAAAACAACAUGCAGUCAAAAAAAAUCCAAGUCUACUUGAGUUAUUAUCAUACGUCUUUUCCUUUCACAAUACAAUUUGUGGCCCAUUCGCCUUCUUCGAUGAUUAUCAAGCUUUCAUCGAAGGUAAUACUGCAAAGAAACUUCAGAAUGGAGAUAUGUCGAAACAAUCCAGUUCUAGCGAACCUUCACCAUUCUGGCCUGUUCUAAAGAAAAUCUUUUUCGCAUUCUUUUACGUUUUCCUUGCACUUAAAGUCGUUCCUAUUUUCCCUAUCAGUACACUUAGAGAGUCAUCUUUCCAAGAUAAGUCGUUCCUAAUUAAGAUGUUUUUAGUGAUAAUGAUUACUACUGCUCAAAGACCUAAAUAUUAUUUUGCGUGGUCAAUAGGCGAAGCUGCCAACAACAAUGCUGGCUUUGGAAUCAGUGGCUAUGACGGCAAGGGAAAUGCCAAAUGGGAUUUGGUUAAUAAUGCUGAUGUAGCUCAAAUAGAGUUUUGCACAAGCUUGAAAGUAUUACUUGACAAUUGGAAUAAAACUACAACUUAUUGGUUACGUCACGUUGUGUACGACAGAGUGCCAGCGUUUAAAAUGUUAGCCGUUUUUGCAGUCUCAGGAACAUGGCAUGGAUUUUAUCCCGGUUACUAUAUAACAUUCUUUACUGGAUUCUUAUUUACAACUGCAGGAAGAUCUAUUAGAAAAUGUAUAAGACCUAUGUUUCAAGGCUCGAAACAAUCCCAAUUCCUUUAUGAUGUUAUAACUUCAAUUUCCACCAGAGUUGUUUUAGGUUAUCUAACCUUCUCUUUUGUUUUGUUGGAAUUUGAACCAUCUUGGAUUGUUUUAAAGCAAAUUUUCUUCUGGAUGCAUGGUGCAGCAUUAUUUGCUAUUCUCGUCCUACCAAGAUUAGUGAGAAAAAAUCAAACAAAGAAGGAAUAAUUGAAUAUUCCAAUUAUCAAAAUUAAAAAGAAAUAUUGCCAUAUUAGUUUUUUAAGUUUUCUCCUUAUUUUGUUUUCCUUUUUGAUUCAUUCGUAUUGUUUUGCAUAAUUAAUAUGCAUAAUAUCAUUCAAAAUUGUCACAAAGAGCAAUA
rnacentral:misc_RNA from 1 species